rnacentral:SRP_RNA from 1 species
GCCAGGCGUGGUGGCGCACGCCUGUAGUCCCAGCUACUCAGGAGGCUGAGGCAGGAGAAUUGCUUGAACCUGGGAGGCGGAGGUUGCAGUGAGCCGAGAUUGCGCCACUGCACUCCAGCCUGGUGACAGAGCAAGACUCUGUCUCAA